UUCCCUCAUCUUGCUUCGUAGGUCUCAUCUCCACCACACCAAGAACUCACCUCCUUUCUCCGACCUCCUCAAAACCCAUCCCUGAUUGUCACUUGAGAUGCAGACCUGAAUCAUUUUCUGAGACAUCGAAUUCCUCUGCCAGAGGAACAUGCUUCAGUGUUCUAUGGCAUUCACGAAUCGAUUGUCCUUGCAACAUGCCCCCUCUCUGAUAAACACAUUAUUCAUUUUGUGUAUUUUGAUUUCUUCCUGCUUUCAUCCAUGAUCCAUGUCUUCUUUUUUUAUUUUGAUUGUUUGGUUGCAGGUCUUCUCAAUGAUGGGAUGAUCACAAAGGGUUUGGUUGUUUCUCUACUUCUGAUUAGGCAGUCAAUGACCAUUUCAGUUUAAUAUUAAUUUUCAGAGUUUGUUACAAGUUUUAUAUAGGUUCAUCAGUUUGAUAAGCAAGGUUGGAUGAAAUAAACAAUUUAAAGCCUAUAAGUUAACAAUGUGCUAUACUGAUGCAGGGUUGGAGAAAAAUCUAACUGAGGUUGAGUUGUUGCGGAUGAGAAGAGAGAGAGUAUAUGAGGUUCAAAGGAAAAUGGACCAAUCGGAACUUGAACACGACUUGAGUGGCUUGGAUGUAAGUAAUUGUUAGUCUCCAUCAAAAUGCUGCAAUUACAUUUAAAUAUGUUUUUCCACUCAUGUGCACUUUAUGUAAAAACUUUUUGGACUUACCAUGUAAUACCCAUCUAGGUAACCAGCCCAGUUUAAUAAAUGUUAUGGCUUUUGAUUCAGUUUUGUUUUGAGAGUGAAAGUCACAAUUUGAGUUUUCCAUUUAGUUUUGGUCAGUUCUAAUUUUGAAAGCUUAAUUUCCUUUGUUUUUGGUGAAUGUCUCAAGGUCAUUGUAUAGUUAGUUGUUUUAAUUCAUAUUGUUACUUUUGAACAGGAAAACUUAUGAUCACAUGAUUUUGUAUCUGUUUUUUUUAUAGUAAUUAGCAUGUUAUUCUAUAGAUAACACUUCACUCUUUUGGUACAAUUCGAAGGGGAAUUUCUAACACUAGUGAGUUAUUUUGAUGAUGGUUUUUGCACAUUACUCAUGGAAAUAAAUGGUGUGGACUUCUUCUGUUAAUACCAAGUUAGCAGAGCCGCUUGCCCAUAAAAAAAGUUGGUAACCCUUUUUUUUAAUAGUAUUUUGAGCAUGUUUGGAAAUUCUUCUGUAAUUGAUUCUGGAGAAAAAAUUGAGGAAGAAGCUUAGUGAGCAGCUUCUCCUUGUGCCAGAAUUGAUUCUAGAGAAAAAAUAAGUUGAUCCAAGCAUGCUAUAAAAGUAUAUAUGGAGCCCAAGGAAGAAAAUUGAUGGACAUUGCUUCCAGUUUUUAAUGCAUUGUUUGCGAAAGGUGAUGUUAAUGGAUUGUUGUGUUUGAGGAGCUCCAUUGAAAUUAAGGUUGAAGAUUUAAAUUUUGUGAGUUAAGGUGCUUCCACAAAGUUUCAAGCUGUCCUGGGUUGGGGCGAAAUUGAGGAAGCUGUAUUUGGGAGUGGGGUUUAACGUCUUACUAUUGCAAACAGAUUGCUAAACAUAGUGAAGGAUUAUUAUUUUCUACUUGGCUUUGGGUCAAAGUUUUAGCGAGGUAAGGUUUAUUUUACCCAUUGUUUGGCUUCUUACUGCAGUUGACAAUUUAUAGCUUUCAUUGAAGAAAAGAUGGUCUUUGGCAUUGUGAAUUCAUGUUUAAUGGGCUUUCUGCAGUUUUGUUUGUGUGAGUGCCUUUCUUUUUAGGAAAAUGUGUCUUUUGGCAAAAUAUAUUGGUGUUUUCUGUGGAUCAAGAUCUAUGCAUGUCCGAUAUUUGUUGGACUACAUUGCUUUAUUAUCCGAUAUUUUGAUUGUUUGAUUGAUUGAAUGGAAGAAUUACAAUUAAUUUUUCAUGUCCCUUUGUGAAUGGAAGCAUCGCUCAAUUAAGCUUGAAAGCAUUACUUUUGCCAUUAUAUAAUGCUUCUACUAAUAAGAAGGCUGAUUCAAUUCCAAAGAUGAAGAAGAAAAUGAUAAUGAGCUAAAAAAGAAAGGCAUCUCAAACAAGAAAAAGUUGUGACAAUAUGUAACAUGCUUAUUUUAUUUUUGCUGCUUAUCCAUUUUUUACUGCCGUCUUCCUUUUGAGAACUGUACUGAAAGGUUUAAUUUGGUUUCAGCUUCUUUCUAUUAAUUUGGCAUCAUGGCCAUUUUGGAAAUGCUUGGUAGUUUCUUUUUCAUUUUCCAGGUGUGGGAUGCUACUGCAUCAGACCCAAAGUUGCUGGGGUUUUUGAAAUCUUAUAGCAAUACCGUACCUAUGCCUAGGCAUUGGAGUCAGAAGAGAGUUUUUGCAGGGGAGAGGCUGUGGCAAUUACCAAGCCUGGACCUGUAGGUGUUUGGCAAUGGGCAUCCUUGAGUUAUUUGUCUUUUAUUAUCUGUUGUAUUGAACUGGCAUAUUAUGUGAUAUAAUGGGGAUAUAUAAUCAUGUGAUAUUUUUGCAUAAUAUUAUUGGGCAUUGAUUUAUGAUAAA